rnacentral:rRNA from 1 species
AGAGUUUGAUCCUGGCUCAGAUUGAACGCUGGCGGCAUGCUUUACACAUGCAAGUCGGACGGCAGCACAGAGAAGCUUGCUUCUUGGGUGGCGAGUGGCGAACGGGUGAGUAAUAUAUCGGAACGUACCGAGUAAUGGGGGAUAACUAAUCGAAAGAUUAGCUAAUACCGCAUAUUCUCUGAGGAGGAAAGCAGGGGACCUUCGGGCCUUGCGUUAUUCGAGCGGCCGAUAUCUGAUUAGCUAGUUGGUGGGGUAAAGGCCUACCAAGGCGACGAUCAGUAGCGGGUCUGAGAGGAUGAUCCGCCACACUGGGACUGAGACACGGCCCAGACUCCUACGGGAGGCAGCAGUGGGGAAUUUUGGACAAUGGGCGCAAGCCUGAUCCAGCCAUGCCGCGUGUCUGAAGAAGGCCUUCGGGUUGUAAAGGACUUUUGUCAGGGAAGAAAAGGCUGUUGCUAAUAUCGACAGCUGAUGACGGUACCUGAAGAAUAAGCACCGGCUAACUACGUGCCAGCAGCCGCGGUAAUACGUAGGGUGCGAGCGUUAAUCGGAAUUACUGGGCGUAAAGCGAGCGCAGACGGUUACUUAAGCAGGAUGUGAAAUCCCCGGGCUUAACCUGGGAACUGCGUUCUGAACUGGGUGACUAGAGUGUGUCAGAGGGAGGUAGAAUUCCACGUGUAGCAGUGAAAUGCGUAGAGAUGUGGAGGAAUACCGAUGGCGAAGGCAGCCUCCUGGGAUAACACUGACGUUCAUGCUCGAAAGCGUGGGUAGCAAACAGGAUUAGAUACCCUGGUAGUCCACGCCCUAAACGAUGUCAAUUAGCUGUUGGGCAACUUGAUUGCUUAGUAGCGUAGCUAACGCGUGAAAUUGACCGCCUGGGGAGUACGGUCGCAAGAUUAAAACUCAAAGGAAUUGACGGGGACCCGCACAAGCGGUGGAUGAUGUGGAUUAAUUCGAUGCAACGCGAAGAACCUUACCUGGUCUUGACAUGUACGGAAUCCUCCAGAGACGGAGGAGUGCCUUCGGGAGCCGUAACACAGGUGCUGCAUGGCUGUCGUCAGCUCGUGUCGUGAGAUGUUGGGUUAAGUCCCGCAACG